rfam:Roseivirga spongicola strain TST030701-084 contig_7, whole genome shotgun sequence.
GGAAAUGCGAUAACGAGGGAGAGUUAUACUGGUCUGUAAAACCAGUGCCUCAGGCUGAGUAGGUUCGAAUCCUACCAUUUCCA